UGCAAGUCGAGCGGACAGAUGGGAGCUUGCUCCCUGAUGUUAGCGGCGGACGGGUGAGUAACACGUGGGUAACCUGCCUGUAAGACUGGGAUAACUCCGGGAAACCGGGGCUAAUACCGGAUGGUUGUUUGAACCGAAUGGUUCAAACAUAAAAGGUGGCUUUGGCUACCACUUACAGAUGGACCCGCGGCGCAUUAGCUAGUUGGUGAGGUAACGGCUCACCAAGGCAACGAUGCGUAGCCGACCUGAGAGGGUGAUCGGCCACACUGGGACUGAGACACGGCCCAGACUCCUACGGGAGGCAGCAGUAGGGAAUCUUCCGCAAUGGACGAAAGUCUGACGGAGCAACGCCGCGUGAGUGAUGAAGGUUUUCGGAUCGUAAAGCUCUGUUGUUAGGGAAGAACAAGUACCGUUCGAAUAGGGCGGUACCUUGACGGUACCUAACCAGAAAGCCACGGCUAACUACGUGCCAGCAGCCGCGGUAAUACGUAGGUGGCAAGCGUUGUCCGGAAUUAUUGGGCGUAAAGGGCUCGCAGGCGGUUUCUUAAGUCUGAUCUGAAAGCCCCCGGCUCAACCGGGGAGGGUCAUUGGAAACUGGGGAACUUGAGUGCAGAAGAGGAGAGUGUAAUUCCACUUGUACCGGCGAAUGCUUGGAGAUGUGGAGGAACACCAGUGGGGAAGGCGAUCUCU
rnacentral:rRNA from 1 species